rnacentral:rRNA from 1 species
UAACUACCGGAAACGGUAGCUAAUACCCGAUACAUCCUUUUCCUGCAUGGGAGAAGGAGGAAAGGCGGAGCAAUCUGUCACUUGUGGAUGGGCCUGCGGCGCAUUAGCUAGUUGGUGGGGUAAAGGCCUACCAAGGCGACGAUGCGUAGCCGACCUGAGAGGGUGAUCGGCCACACUGGGACUGAGACACGGCCCAGACUCCUACGGGAGGCAGCAGUAGGGAAUCUUCCGCAAUGGGCGAAAGCCUGACGGAGCAACGCCGCGUGAGUGAUGAAGGUUUUCGGAUCGUAAAGCUCUGUUGCCAGGGAAGAACGUCUUGUAGAGUAACUGCUACAAGAGUGACGGUACCUGAGAAGAAAGCCCCGGCUAACUACGUGCCAGCAGCCGCGGUAAUACGUAGGGGGCAAGCGUUGUCCGGAAUUAUUGGGCGUAAAGCGCGCGCAGGCGGCUCUUUAAGUCUGGUGUUUAAUCCCGAGGCUCAACUUCGGGUCGCACUGGAAACUGGGAGAGCUUGAGUGCAGAAGAGGAGAGUGGAAUUCCACGUGUAGCGGUGAAAUGCGUAGAGAUGUGGAGGAACACCAGUGGCGAAAGCGACUCUC